rnacentral:rRNA from 1 species
AAUGGGAUUCCUUAAGUAAUUGCGAAUGAACAAGGAAAUGCUCAGCUUGAAAAAUGGGGCCUUUGGCUUUGAAUUGUAAUUUUGAAAUGUAUUGCCAAUGGAGGCGCAGGUGCAAGCCUAUUGAAAGAAAGCGUCAAUGAGGGUGAGAUUCCUUUUUGUCAUUUGCAGUCCUCCGUGCACGGUAUAUAUUUGACGAGUCACACUCCUCGGCAUUGGAAUGCAAAGUGGGUGGUAAAUUCCAUGUAAAGGUAAAUAUAUUAUUGAGACUGAUAGCAAACAAGUACCAUGAGGGAAAUAUGAAAAGGACUUUGAAAAGAGAAUUAAAAGAGUCUGCAUUUGCUGAACAGAAAGCAAACAGAAUUGAUUUUACUUGGUGAGAUUGUUGUGCUUACUCUAUCAUUUAUAUGGUUGAUGUGGGUGCGAUGGUUCUUACCUUGAAUGUCAGCUUCUAUUUCUGCAAAUCAUUACCCUUGCACAUGAAUGGUAAUUUGCCUGCGGGUAUUGGAAUGCAUGUGUUUGCAAUGAUUUGUGAUUUGACGCAUGUGUUUGGUGAAAUUUGUAUAUGCUCUUUUGUCGAAGGGGAAAGCUUACUUUUUUGAGCAUUGCAAGCCCUUACACAUCAGUGCUGGCAAAAUGUUUCUGCUUGACCCGUCUUGAAACACGGACCAAGGAGUCUAACAGAUGUGCAAGUUCGUGGGUGGCAAACCUUUUUGCGCAAUGAAAGUAUUGGCUGGGAUACUUGCACCAGCAGCCGACCAAUUAGCAGACAGAGGUUUGAGUUUGAGCAUAUCUAUUAGGACCCGAAAGAUGGUGAACUAUGCCUGAACAGAAUGAAUUCAGAGGAAACUCUGAUGGAGGUUCGUAUCGAUACUGACGUGCAAAUCGUUCGUCAUACUUGGGUAUAGGGGCGAAAGACUAAUCGAACCAUCUAGUAGCUGGUUCCCUCCGAAGUUUCCCUCAGGAUAGCUGGAGUUGCACAGUUUUAUCAGGUAAAGCGAAUGAUUAGAGGAAUUGGGGACACGCUGUCCUUGACCUAUUCUCAAACUUUAAAUGGGUAAGAUGCAAUGGUUGCUUUAUUGAACUUUUGGAAUAAAUGGCAAUAUCAGGUGGGCCAUUUUUGGUAAGCAGAACUGGCGAUGAGGGAUGAACCUAACGUUGGGUUAAGGUGCUUAAUUGCUUGCUCAUUAGAUACCAGAAAGGGUGUUGGUUCAUUUUAACAGCAGGACGGUGGUCAUGGAAGUCGAAAUCCGCUAAGGAGUGUGUAACAACUCACCUGCCGAAUGGACUAGCCCCGAAAAUGGAUGGCGCUCAAGCGGGUGACCGAUACCCAACCACUGUUGCAAAUAGUGUCAGUGUGUAGGAGGGCAUGGCGGUUUGUGAUGCAGCCUUUG